rnacentral:rRNA from 1 species
UUUUAUGAGAGUUUGAUCCUGGCUCAGGACGAACGCUGGCGGCGUGCCUAAUACAUGCAAGUCGAACGCUUCUUUUUCCACCGGAGCUUGCUCCACCGGAAAAAGAGGAGUGGCGAACGGGUGAGUAACACGUGGGUAACCUGCCCAUCAGAAGGGGAUAACACUUGGAAACAGGUGCUAAUACCGUAUAACAAUCGAAACCGCAUGGUUUUGAUUUGAAAGGCGCUUUCGGGUGUCGCUGAUGGAUGGACCCGCGGUGCAUUAGCUAGUUGGUGAGGUAACGGCUCACCAAGGCCACGAUGCAUAGCCGACCUGAGAGGGUGAUCGGCCACAUUGGGACUGAGACACGGCCCAAACUCCUACGGGAGGCAGCAGUAGGGAAUCUUCGGCAAUGGACGAAAGUCUGACCGAGCAACGCCGCGUGAGUGAAGAAGGUUUUCGGAUCGUAAAACUCUGUUGUUAGAGAAGAACAAGGAUGAGAGUAACUGUUCAUCCCUUGACGGUAUCUAACCAGAAAGCCACGGCUAACUACGUGCCAGCAGCCGCGGUAAUACGUAGGUGGCAAGCGUUGUCCGGAUUUAUUGGGCGUAAAGCGAGCGCAGGCGGUUUCUUAAGUCUGAUGUGAAAGCCCCCGGCUCAACCGGGGAGGGUCAUUGGAAACUGGGAGACUUGAGUGCAGAAGAGGAGAGUGGAAUUCCAUGUGUAGCGGUGAAAUGCGUAGAUAUAUGGAGGAACACCAGUGGCGAAGGCGGCUCUCUGGUCUGUAACUGACGCUGAGGCUCGAAAGCGUGGGGAGCAAACAGGAUUAGAUACCCUGGUAGUCCACGCCGUAAACGAUGAGUGCUAAGUGUUGGAGGGUUUCCGCCCUUCAGUGCUGCAGCUAACGCAUUAAGCACUCCGCCUGGGGAGUACGACCGCAAGGUUGAAACUCAAAGGAAUUGACGGGGGCCCGCACAAGCGGUGGAGCAUGUGGUUUAAUUCGAAGCAACGCGAAGAACCUUACCAGGUCUUGACAUCCUUUGACCACUCUAGAGAUAGAGCUUCCCCUUCGGGGGCAAAGUGACAGGUGGUGCAUGGUUGUCGUCAGCUCGUGUCGUGAGAUGUUGGGUUAAGUCCCGCAACGAGCGCAACCCUUAUUGUUAGUUGCCAUCAUUCAGUUGGGCACUCUAGCAAGACUGCCGGUGACAAACCGGAGGAAGGUGGGGAUGACGUCAAAUCAUCAUGCCCCUUAUGACCUGGGCUACACACGUGCUACAAUGGGAAGUACAACGAGUCGCGAAGUCGCGAGGCUAAGCUAAUCUCUUAAAGCUUCUCUCAGUUCGGAUUGCAGGCUGCAACUCGCCUGCAUGAAGCCGGAAUCGCUAGUAAUCGCGGAUCAGCACGCCGCGGUGAAUACGUUCCCGGGCCUUGUACACACCGCCCGUCACACCACGAGAGUUUGUAACACCCGAAGUCGGUGAGGUAACCUUUGGAGCCAGCCGCCUAAGGUGGGAUAGAUGAUUGGGGUGAAGUCGUAACAAGGUAGCCGUAUCGGAAGGUGCGGCUGGAUCACCUCCUUU